GACGAACGCUGGCGGCGUGCCUAAUACAUGCAAGUAGAACGCAGUGGCGAACGGGUGAGUAACGCGUAGGUAACUGCCUCAUAGCGGGGGAUAACUAUUGGAAACGAUAUCUAAAACCGCAUACUGUGAGAUGGACCUGCGUUGUAUUAGCUAGUUGGUGAGGUAAAGGCUCACCAAGGCGACGAUACAUAGCCGACCUGAGCGGGGGAUCGGGCACAAUGGGAGUGAGACACGGCCGAGACUCCGACGGGAGGCAGAAGUAGGGAAUCUGCGGCAAUGGACGGAAGGCUGGGCGAGCAACGCCUCGUUGGUGAAGAAGGUUUUCGGCUCGUAAGGGUCUGUUGUUAGAGAAGCGGGAACUAACCAGAAAGCGACGUCUAACUACGCGCCAGCAGCCGCGGUAAUAAC
rnacentral:rRNA from 1 species